GGUUAAGCGACUAAGCGUACACGGUGGAUGCCCUGGCAGUCAGAGGCGAUGAAGGACGUGCUAAUCUGCGAUAAGCGUCGGUAAGGUGAUAUGAACCGUUAUAACCGGCGAUUUCCGAAUGGGGAAACCCAGUGUGAUUCGUCACACUAUCAUUAACUGAAUCCAUAGGUUAAUGAGGCGAACCGGGGGAACUGAAACAUCUAAGUACCCCGAGGAAAAGAAAUCAACCGAGAUUCCCCCAGUAGCGGCGAGCGAACGGGGAGCAGCCCAGAGCCUGAAUCAGUGUGUGUGUUAGUGGAAGCGUCUGGAAAGGCGCGCGAUACAGGGUGACAGCCCCGUACACAAAAAUGCACAUACUGUGAGCUCGAUGAGUAGGGCGGGACACGUGGUAUCCUGUCUGAAUAUGGGGGGACCAUCCUCCAAGGCUAAAUACUCCUGACUGACCGAUAGUGAACCAGUACCGUGAGGGAAAGGCGAAAAGAACCCCGGCGAGGGGAGUGAAAAAGAACCUGAAACCGUGUACGUACAAGCAGUGGGAGCCUCUUUAUGGGGUGACUGCGUACCUUUUGUAUAAUGGGUCAGCGACUUAUAUUCUGUAGCAAGGUUAACCGAAUAGGGGAGCCGAAGGGAAACCGAGUCUUAACUGGGCGUUAAGUUGCAGGGUAUAGACCCGAAACCCGGUGAUCUAGCCAUGGGCAGGUUGAAGGUUGGGUAACACUAACUGGAGGACCGAACCGACUAAUGUUGAAAAAUUAGCGGAUGACUUGUGGCUGGGGGUGAAAGGCCAAUCAAACCGGGAGAUAGCUGGUUCUCCCCGAAAGCUAUUUAGGUAGCGCCUCGUGAAUUCAUCUCCGGGGGUAGAGCACUGUUUCGGCAAGGGGGUCAUCCCGACUUACCAACCCGAUGCAAACUGCGAAUACCGGAGAAUGUUAUCACGGGAGACACACGGCGGGUGCUAACGUCCGUCGUGAAGAGGGAAACAACCCAGACCGCCAGCUAAGGUCCCAAAGUCAUGGUUAAGUGGGAAACGAUGUGGGAAGGCCCAGACAGCCAGGAUGUUGGCUUAGAAGCAGCCAUCAUUUAAAGAAAGCGUAAUAGCUCACUGGUCGAGUCGGCCUGCGCGGAAGAUGUAACGGGGCUAAACCAUGCACCGAAGCUGCGGCAGCGACACUAUGUGUUGUUGGGUAGGGGAGCGUUCUGUAAGCCUGCGAAGGUGUACUGUGAGGUAUGCUGGAGGUAUCAGAAGUGCGAAUGCUGACAUAAGUAACGAUAAAGCGGGUGAAAAGCCCGCUCGCCGGAAGACCAAGGGUUCCUGUCCAACGUUAAUCGGGGCAGGGUGAGUCGACCCCUAAGGCGAGGCCGAAAGGCGUAGUCGAUGGGAAACAGGUUAAUAUUCCUGUACUUGGUGUUACUGCGAAGGGGGGACGGAGAAGGCUAUGUUGGCCGGGCGACGGUUGUCCCGGUUUAAGCGUGUAGGCUGGUUUUCCAGGCAAAUCCGGAAAAUCAAGGCUGAGGCGUGAUGACGAGGCACUACGGUGCUGAAGCAACAAAUGCCCUGCUUCCAGGAAAAGCCUCUAAGCAUCAGGUAACAUCAAAUCGUACCCCAAACCGACACAGGUGGUCAGGUAGAGAAUACCAAGGCGCUUGAGAGAACUCGGGUGAAGGAACUAGGCAAAAUGGUGCCGUAACUUCGGGAGAAGGCACGCUGAUAUGUAGGUGAAGCGACUUGCUCGUGGAGCUGAAAUCAGUCGAAGAUACCAGCUGGCUGCAACUGUUUAUUAAAAACACAGCACUGUGCAAACACGAAAGUGGACGUAUACGGUGUGACGCCUGCCCGGUGCCGGAAGGUUAAUUGAUGGGGUUAGCGGUAACGCGAAGCUCUUGAUCGAAGCCCCGGUAAACGGCGGCCGUAACUAUAACGGUCCUAAGGUAGCGAAAUUCCUUGUCGGGUAAGUUCCGACCUGCACGAAUGGCGUAAUGAUGGCCAGGCUGUCUCCACCCGAGACUCAGUGAAAUUGAACUCGCUGUGAAGAUGCAGUGUACCCGCGGCAAGACGGAAAGACCCCGUGAACCUUUACUAUAGCUUGACACUGAACAUUGAGCCUUGAUGUGUAGGAUAGGUGGGAGGCUUUGAAGUGUGGACGCCAGUCUGCAUGGAGCCGGCCUUGAAAUACCACCCUUUAAUGUUUGAUGUUCUAACGUUGGCCCCUGAUCGGGGUUGCGGACAGUGUCUGGUGGGUAGUUUGACUGGGGCGGUCUCCUCCUAAAGAGUAACGGAGGAGCACGAAGGUUGGCUAAUCCUGGUCGGACAUCAGGAGGUUAGUGCAAUGGCAUAAGCCAGCUUGACUGCGAGCGUGACGGCGCGAGCAGGUGCGAAAGCAGGUCAUAGUGAUCCGGUGGUUCUGAAUGGAAGGGCCAUCGCUCAACGGAUAAAAGGUACUCCGGGGAUAACAGGCUGAUACCGCCCAAGAGUUCAUAUCGACGGCGGUGUUUGGCACCUCGAUGUCGGCUCAUCACAUCCUGGGGCUGAAGUAGGUCCCAAGGGUAUGGCUGUUCGCCAUUUAAAGUGGUACGCGAGCUGGGUUUAGAACGUCGUGAGACAGUUCGGUCCCUAUCUGCCGUGGGCGCUGGAGAACUGAGGGGGGCUGCUCCUAGUACGAGAGGACCGGAGUGGACGCAUCACUGGUGUUCGGGUUGUCAUGCCAAUGGCACUGCCCGGUAGCUAAAUGCGGAAGAGAUAAGUGCUGAAAGCAUCUAAGCACGAAACUUGCCCCGAGAUGAGUUCUCCCUGACUCCUUGAGAGUCCUGAAGGAACGUUGAAGACGACGACGUUGAUAGGCCGGGUGUGUAAGCGCAGCGAUGCGUUGAGCUAACCGGUACUAAUGAACCGUGAGGCUUAACCUU
rnacentral:rRNA from 1 species